GUCCCUGGCGGACGAUAGCCAGGCAAGUCGUAACAGUGAGUCAACGCGAAGAGCAGCUUGCUGCUCUGCUGACGAGUGGCGGACGGGUGAGUAAUGUCUGGGAAACUGCCUGAUGGAGGGGGAUAACUACUGGAAACGGUAGCUAAUACCGCAUAACGUCUACGGACCAAAGUGGGGGACCUUCGGGCCUCAUGCCAUCAGAUGUGCCCAGAUGGGAUUAGCUAGUAGGUGGGGUAACGGCUCACCUAGGCGACGAUCCCUAGCUGGUCUGAGAGGAUGACCAGCCACACUGGAACUGAGACACGGUCCAGACUCCUACGGGAGGCAGCAGUGGGGAAUAUUGCACAAUGGGCGCAAGCCUGAUGCAGCCAUGCCGCGUGUAUGAAGAAGGCCUUCGGGUUGUAAAGUACUUUCAGCGGGGAGGAAGGCGUUGUGGUUAAUAACCACAGCGAUUGACGUUACCCGCAGAAGAAGCACCGGCUAACUCCGUGCCAGCAGCCGCGGUAAUACGGAGGGUGCAAGCGUUAAUCGGAAUUACUGGGCGUAAAGCGCACGCAGGCGGUCUGUUAAGUCAGAUGUGAAAUCCCCGGGCUCAACCUGGGAACUGCAUUUGAAACUGGCAGGCUUGAGUCUCGUAGAGGGGGGUAGAAUUCCAGGUGUAGCGGUGAAAUGCGUAGAGAUCUGGAGGAAUACCGGUGGCGAAGGCGGCCCCCUGGACGAAGACUGACGCUCAGGUGCGAAAGCGUGGGGAGCAAACAGGAUUAGAUACCCUGGUAGUCCACGCCGUAAACGAUGUCGACUUGGGAGGUUGUGCCCUUGAGGCGUGGCUUCCGGAGCUAACGCGUUAAGUCGACCGCCUGGGGGAGUACGGCCGCAAGGUUAAAACUCAAAUGAAUUUGACGGGGGCCCGCACAAGCGGUGGAGCAUGUGGUUUAAUUCGAUGCAACGCGAAGAACCUUACCUGGUCUUGACAUCCAGAGAAUCCUGCAGAGAUGCGGGAGUGCCUUCGGGAACUCUGAGACAGGUGCUGCAUGGCUGUCGUCAGCUCGUGU
rnacentral:rRNA from 1 species